GCCCCUGUAGUUUAAUGGUUAUGACGCCGGACUUCUACCCUUCUCUUCGUAGUGUAUCCGGAGGCUGCGGGUUCGAGUCCCGCCAGGGGUU
rfam:Cylindrobasidium torrendii FP15055 ss-10 unplaced genomic scaffold CYLTOscaffold_232, whole genome shotgun sequence.